rnacentral:lncRNA from 1 species
UUUUUUUCCCUUUUAAGUGUGUGUAUGAUUGUCACUACUAGGCAAUAGUCAUCAUUAUCGGUAUCUGAUUUGCAUAAGAUAACAUAACUUUUAUGCAUUUUCUAUCCCGAUCGAGAAGAACUUAUCGAGUUAUCUCAAACGUCACGAAAAGUAAGAGGACAAUGAACAUAACGCACAUAUUAUAUGACUCUACUUAUUAUCCAUUUGUAUAUUUAGACAUAUAUA